ensembl:lncRNA
AUGAGGACACCUCGUUCUGAAUGAAUCACACCUCUGUUUUCACUUUGCUGCCUCUGUGCUCCAGCCCCGUGGAAAUAUUUUUCCUUAAAGACCUCCUGACAUUGUCACUUGCUUUGCAGAUUGCUUGUGUUUUGUACACAGGAAGAGUCACUUUUGGAGGAGCAUUUAGGUGAAAAAAGAUAGACUUUUCUGCAUUGAGGAAUAACUCCUCAUAAAUCUGCCAGAGCACAUUCAUCUGUCUUGCAAGCUUGCCUCAAGCCCCCAGUAUCUCUCCUCAUCAAGGUCACAUCUGUUUAAACGUGCACCGGGAGUCUGAGCCAGCCACUGGGGAAACAUUGAUUUGUGAUCCUGUAUUGCAACAGCCUGAGCAAUUAAUAUGAUCAAAACAUCCCAUUCCAUGUCAUUAUUACAGACCUCCUGAUAUUUAUUUUCAUUACCUACGACUUAAAGAUGAAAAGGGCAGUAGAGGCUCCAGCAUAUGGCUGUAGGUGGGAGAACCCUAACUUGUUUCAGCUGCCUACAUGCCCCUAAAUGAAGAACAGUUCUGAUAGCCCAGGGCAGGAGCUGAGGGAUAUUUCAGCCAAGUCAUGAGGCCACCGUUGCUGGCUUCCAGUUGAAAUGUCAGUGAUGUGGGUCAGGACAUUGGAACAGCAGCGCUGGUACAAAUCAAGGGAGUAGAAACGUACCGCCUAAAACCCAAGUACUGCAGGGAUCCUGAUCACUCUCUGUCUGACUUCAUUCACCCAUUAUUUUCUAAUAGAAGGAAGUGUUACCCCAGCAGGAAGCGUUACCUUUGAAGACUUGAACAGUUCUCAGCCCCUUCACUGGGAGCAAAGCCAUCCCCUUGGGUACUCCACAGAUCAGCAUCCAUCCUUCCCAGUCAAGAAACACUCUCGGCAAGGAGCUCUAAUGGAGGUAUCCCCUCCAUGGUUCUGCUCCAUGUGCGAUCCCAGUCCUGCAAGAAGUCCCUUCAUCCUCCAGGUUUCUCUGGGCAGUUCUUCCUCCGAGCAAAUCAGCACAAGUGAGAUGUGGAAGCAGACGGAGAGGAAGCAUCGUUAGCAUUCAUUCGUUGCUUAUGUUGUACAGACUGUCAGAGCUAAUGAAAUUUUAUGACAGACGGGCAGCGAUCAGCUUCUUGGUGUUAUUUAUCCUUCUCACUCCUGGCUCUACAUCCCGGGUAAUCCUUCAUUCGUCUUUAAAAGCGCCAGGAUGACUAAGCACAGCAUCCACCUACCAGAGAACCAGCAAAUUGUGUCGAUGCGUGGGGAUAAUUAAUAAUCACCUGGCUCAAGCGAUGAGUGACUGCAAGGCAACACAUUCCCUCUCUCCCAUUGAUUUUUCCCCCCCUGCCUCACUUCCUCUCUCCCACUGAGCUCCCAAAAACUUCAAUCACAUCCAUUACCGGGGGCUUUCGCCUCCCCCUUCUGCCAUCUCUCCUCAAACUCCAACAGAUGUUUGCAAAGACGUUCCUCGGGCUGACAGCACACGCGGAUGGCGCGGUGGGCACGGGUGGCCCCCGAUCCGCAUCAUUUAUCCUGCAAGGUGCCAGCAAGGCUUGGCAGGUCUAUUUGUAACAGCUUCGUAGUAGAUUAUGAAAAUUGAUGCAAAACAUAUGAGGGAAGCUAGCUUCAUUCACCACCUGUUAAUGCAUGUUUGUAUCUUUACAGAAACUGCUGAACUGGUAAAGGUUGCCUGUGCUCAGGCUGCUUAGCAUGAAAGUAGCGAUAGGAAAAGACAAGGAACUUAAAAUAUACAUUUUUGCUGCAGAAUGGGAGGAUUUACCUUCCUACGGUACAUGUCAUGUAGAGGUGUAAAGAUCUGUAUAGAUCUUUAAGAGGUAAAGACCUUUAAGACCCCCCUCCAACCCAGGUCAUUCCAACGUGGGGUCUGCAGUGCGCUCGGCACUCCAUCUCAUCUCUCAGCAUCAGUCAACAGAUACUGAUUUUCACUUGGCAGUGUAUCAAACUGGGGCUGAUUAUCUCCAAAAUUCUUCCUUAAAAUAUUAUCUUUAGGCUGCAGAGUUAGAACACAGCUGAAAUGAAUGAGGCAUUCAGCUCUGCCUGGAGCUGCAGGGCCUGCAGACCUGGCUCUUUGCUUCUCUUAUAUUUGUUCCACAACUAGGAUGAGAGAGCCAGAUUCUUGACACUACUAUGAAUGAGCAUUUCUGCUACUGAUUUUGGACCAUGCAUUCAAAAAUCAGCCAUAUUUAGGCACUAACAAUUAAGAAUGUUAUUAUGAGAAAGGAGAAACAUGCUUCUUAACUUGUGAGACUUAUAACUUCUGUAUGUGCUUGUGACGGCUCUGUUCUUUACAUAGAAGGGAUUAUGAUGCUCUGAACAUUCACAUGGGUGACCCAGGUUAGGGUGCAGGGAUGGGUGUCCUGGUGGCUGCCACCAUCCUGCUGUGCCAGUCCUGGAGCUCGAGCAGCUGCUCUGCUUGAAAUUUUGCUUGUCUGGAAUUGCAGCAGAGCGCUUUGGUGACUGACAGGAUGACCUUUUGGAACGAGGGCUGGAGAAAUCCAAAUCCCCCCAAAAGGGACACUUUCAUCCCCUCUUCUCCUUAGAUGUGGGGAUGAUGGAUCUCAUGGCUACAGUUCCAUGGUCAUUACACUCUCUCAGGAACAAACUUUUGGGACCACAGCAUGAACUAUGAGUUAUGAGAAAUUAUCAAAACCCUUUUAAGCAGGCUAAGGAAAGCAAGAGCUCCAUUUGGAGCCUCAAGGCCACACUGCUCUGUCCCCCUCCUCAGCAAAAGUCACAAUGGAAGCUCCGGGAUUCCUUUUGGCAAUGGGACACAUCCACCUCUUCCUCCCAGCUGAUGCAGUGAUGCAAUGGGAGCUCUAAGGCCUCAGGUACUUGCGGAUCUCCAACAAAAA